UUAGUUACUUGGUAGGUAUAUAAUCAUUACCAACAUAUUCAGUGAUGAUGGAUUCGUCUCCAAAAAGAUAUGCUUCUAAUUUUACGAGUUCUACGGCACAGAGAGGUGUUGAGGCUAAGGAAGUCGAAAUUGCUAAUGCUCGUCUCGACGUGAAUGUAUCAACAUCGAGUCAAAUUGGCGCAGAGAGCUCCCAGCAAGACGCCGAUGACUAUGGGCCUUUGGAGGACACCGGAUCAUAUUUGCAGGUGGUGGUGGAAAAGCAUCGACGUAAGCACGAGCGCGCAGCCGUUGCCGUACAGACGGCGCGAUUACCGUCUGCCUCCAGCCCCGCCGCCGGCGUCGCGGAUCAGGCACGCUGCGCAAUAAAUAUACUAUAAUAUUGUGUGUGUAGUAGCAAACAGCGUUGGCUAUGGCUAUGGUGUGUGUCGGUGCGCAGGGAGGCACGCGUGGACGUGGUUCGUGUGGCGCGGGUGACGGCGGCUCGGUGGUGUGGGCCGGGCCCGUACUGGUAUCGCGAGCAGCACUGCCUGCACUGCGCGCCACCGAACUACCUUACACAUGUUCGCGAUGCGUAGAAACGUCGUGGCCGGGAUGCAAACUGGCGACGCAUCCCUCUGCACCAGAGGAACGUGUAGAACGCAAGUCGGACGCGCGGCCACUCGUGACUGGAGGGGUGAGUAAUCAGAACGAGUUACGUAAUAAUCGAACG
rnacentral:misc_RNA from 1 species